rnacentral:lncRNA from 1 species
AUGAAAGGUGCAUUUUACAUUGAACACAAAGUGGCUUUUUAUACUAGUAAAGCCAUGAAUAAAAAUAAAUUAAAUUUACUAUUCUAAGUUGACAAAGAUAGAUAAUAAUCUAUAUUACUAUUUUAAGUUGACAUUAUCCAUGAAUAUUUCAACAUUAAUAGUGAAACAUCUCUUUCACCUUAAUUUGAUGAUUUAUUUAAUUACUUAUAACAUUUUUUACUUAUUUUCUAUUUUUAUUUUAUUAUUAUAAAAAGAAAAUAAAAAAAAUGUCCAAGAACAGCAAGAUCAGAGACGCAAAUCCUUGAACCCAGAAAGGAUUUUCCUUUCCCUUCUUUCUUUUUCCUGCAACACAACAGAGACAAGAACAAAAUGUUAAAACCACCACUGCAACACCUGCACAGCCAACUCAAAGGAUUGUCCUCUUUCCCAUUCGGACCAUUACUUCCAACAAGAAAAAAUUUGAAAGUCAACUUUUUCCCUUUUCCAUCAAACAUAAACCCUAAUUUUUGGGUAUAAAUAAAGCAACCGAAACUCAGAAAAAGGAGGCGAUUUUU